CGGGAAACCGGAGCUAAUACCGGAUAAUAUUUCGAACCGCAUGGUUCGAUAGUGAAAGAUGGUUUUGCUAUCACUUAUAGAUGGACCCGCGCCGUAUUAGCUAGUUGGUAAGGUAACGGCUUACCAAGGCGACGAUACGUAGCCGACCUGAGAGGGUGAUCGGCCACACUGGAACUGAGACACGGUCCAGACUCCUACGGGAGGCAGCAGUU
rnacentral:rRNA from 1 species